AACGGCCGCGGUAUCCUAACCGUGCGAAGGUAGCGUAAUCACUUGUUCUUUAAAUGAGGACUAGUAUGAAUGGCACCACGAGGGUUAAACUGUCUCCUUUUUUUAAUCAGUGAAACUAAUCUCCCCGUGAAGAAGCGGGGAUUCUUUUAUAAGACGAGAAGACCCUAUGGAGCUUUAAACAAGUUAACACCUGCUACUAAUAUUCACUUUCCUGAACCACCACAUUAAGUAUAGCACCUCUGAUUAACAGUUUUCGAUUGGGGUGAUCAUGGAGCAAAAAUCAACCUCCACGACGAAAAGGAACACCUCCUUGAGCCAAAAGCUACAACUUUAAGCACUAAAAAACUAACGCACUUUGACCCAAUUCUUUGAGCAACGAACCAAGUUACCCUAGGGAUAACAGCGCAAUCCACUUUAAGAGCUCCUAUCGACAAGUGGGUUUACGACCUCGAUGUUGGAUCAGGGUAUCCCAGUGGUG
rnacentral:rRNA from 1 species